rnacentral:lncRNA from 1 species
UCCUCUAACUCCAUUAAUGGCGAUCCUCCCCUCCUUGUAUAGUUCCAUCUUUAACCUGACAAAAAUUUUUUUCAUCAGCUUUUUUAUUAAUUAUAACUUUUUACUUUCAUCUCGUUUUAUAGGUAGAGAAAGAUGGGGAAAAAAAUCUCUCCAAAAAAUUUAUAAAUGAAACAAAAUGAUAAGAAUUUUGAAACCAUUAGAAUGGUGGGGGAAGAAGAUAACCACUGAUACUAAGAAUUUUGAAAUCAUUAGAAUGGUGGGGGAAGAAGAUAACCACUGGUGUAUGGGUAUGGGGGUUGGGGUGGGGUGGGGUGGGGUUGAUAGAAAUAGGGAAGAAGAAGACAAUUGUUCUUCUUUUUUGUUAAUUUUUUUAAAAAAAUUAACUUAGGGGUAUAAAUUAAGAAAAAAAAUAAAAAUAUUAUUUUUAAUAAAUUAACGCGCUCAAGGAAAGUGAAUUACACGUUUUUUGCCAUGUCAGCAUUUUGCGUCUAAUAGGAAUGACUUUUGAACAAAUAAAGUGUUCAAUUGGCACAAGGAUUAGUUGAGGUGUCUAAAUGAAUUAUGCGGACAACUUUGAGUGGCUGGAGAUGACUUAGGCCUAUGAAAUAUGUUAUGUGUUAUAUGCAAUAUGUUAUGUUCUAUAUGUAAGAUGUUAUGUGCUGUGUAAUGGCAUGACUUUCUCAAUUCAAAUUUGGCAAGUCCCCUGACUUUCCUAAUCCCUAUUUGGCAAGUUCACUGACUUGACUUUCCAUAAAUCAUGUUGUUAGGAAAGAUCUAUUCUUACUCAUGCAUGUCCUUAGUGUGUGCUUGCAUAUACCCAUGCUUAGUACAAGUGUGUACUAAUCCCAUGUAACUCUACAUCUUUAGGUGCAGGAACAGGUAAACGUUAGAGCUUACAGAUCGACGUUGAAGCUAUCCGGACGUGGAGCAUUCAUCCGGACUUGGUAGGACUUCAUACAUUCGCGGACGCUUGUCCAUUUUAUUCUAGCUUAGUUAUAGGAUUGAGUUAGAGGAGUAUGUUCCACUAGCGUUUCUUUCCCGUUUCAUUUCAGACAUUGUAUUGGUGUCAUUUUGGCAAGUAUACACUUAAUGUAGUAUUGAACUAUUUCUUUCAUUUGAUAUUCUUAAUAUUAGAUGGUUGAUGGUGAACGUAUAUGAAUUUAAGUAGAAUGACUUACAUGCAUGUUACGAAACAAAAAGGUAAAAUUUUCCGCUAAAAUUAACCUAUAUGAAGUAAGGAUUAUGUAUGUAGGCUUGUCUGCGACCUCUGAGAGGUCAACGACGCCGGUCUCGUCUGGGCUCUAGAUUCCAGUCGUGACAGUACAACCAUCUAUAGCCCCUGACUUGGUGAAAUUCCACUCUUUGAGGCUUCUUCGAUGGCUGCUUAAAGACUGUUAUGAUCAGUUUUCAACAAAACGUUUCGAAGCCUAUUUUGCAACUUUGACUUCAUUUUUGUUUUUAAAAAAUCAUAAUUUUAGAAGUCGCCACUUAAUUUUUUGGGAAAAAUUAAGCCCAAAAAAUUAAGAAACCCAUUUUUUUUUUAAAAAAAAAAGGUUUUAUGAAAGAAAAUAUUUUAUAUAAAAUCAUAGUGGGGUAAUGGUUCAACUAAUUCUCUAAGGAAGGGUUUAAGCAUCUUAAAGAAUCCGCUAACACACUAUUGACCGGAGGACUGAAAUGUUUGGCUAAUUUUAUAUAUAAAAAAAGAUAAUUAUUAAAAUUGUGUAUGAAAAUUAGGUAAAACCUUUUUUUUACUUUGCAAGCUCUCAAGAAUAAUCCAAAAACUUAAAUCUUCUAUCCAUAGUCAUGUUUUGAACUAAUACGAAUAAUUCAAACUCUUAAACAUGGAUUAAAGAACCUUGUUUUUUAAUAACACUACGAAAGGAUAUAGAAAAUCCUAAAGUCAUUAAUAAAAAAGUCAUAAGUUAAAUUGAAAGACAACUAAUUUAUUUUGAGAAAUUUAACAAUUUUAUUUUAUUCAAAAAAUUUAUACUAAAUAGUUAGUUCAAACUCAUAAACAUUGAUACACAAUAAUUAUGAAAAAACAUAAAAGGUUCUUAAGUCAUUCUACAAGUGAUAAGAAAUAAGAAAUACAAUUUAAGAAAUAACAUUCAUUUUGGAGAGGAUUCAUCUAGUUCAAAGGCCAAACAAAUAAGUUAGUUAGACCAUAGCAAACACACAAUAUAAAAGAGUUAAAUAUAAUCGAGAGAUUAAAAUUUGGGCUUCCAGGACCUUAAUCUGCUACCCUGCUACCACUGCUGCCAUAUUGAUUAUGGGUUUCAACCCAAUAUUUAUCUUCAAUUUUCAGCCUUCUGAGUUAUUGGAACUCUGCUUCAGCUGCUGCCAUUUUCAGGCUUUUCAAGUCCAAGGAAAUGCUAUUUUUUUAGCCUUUUCAGCUACUACUGAUGCUGUCUUCUUGGGUGUUUAACCCAAUAAUAUUAGCUUCCUUUCAAUCGAUCUAAAGGAGGUUGACUCAAAUAAAAACGAAUGCAAGAGAUAGAGAGUCAAUUGACUCAAACAAGAGAGUUCAUGCUAAAUUCAAAGAAGAGGAAGAAAGGAUUAAUAAGUGAAUUUAAUAAGCAUGUCGGAACAACAAAACUUAACUUAAAUAAAGAUCAAACAAGAAGGAGAUCACUUAACAACACAAAUGUUUCCAUUAAUCACAACUCAACUCCAACUAUAAGAGAUUAGCAAAAGUGAUUAAUUUCAAGCCAUAUAAAUUAGUAUUUGUUCAACAGCCAAGAUUUUUAUAAAGAAGUACAAAUGAAGAAACUCAAUUCAUAUUUCUAUCAGUAUUCAAUUUCCAACAAGACAAACAUACUAAAAGAAAAAGUUUUGGUAAAAUAGAGGGAGACUUCAAUACUUCAGCAAUACAAUAGAUAAGCAAUUUAAGAACUAACAAGUUCAACAUAGUAUUUUAAUUCCAAAAUUUAGAUGCGGAGGAGUACACGACUUGUAUUCUUAAUUGUAUGAAUUUAAAGAGGACAGCCAAAGGGGAGGAAACCAUCAGAAAUAGAGGAAGAUACUUAAUUUCCAAUCCUAACAUAUUUUUUCACAUUCAAACCAAGAAACAAUACAAUCAUAAAUUCUAAUCAUAUAUUUAAGCAAAAAGAAGAUCAAAACAUAGAUAAGGAAAGGGACAAAUGAAUAUUUACCAUAAAACUUAACAAACUUUAGAAAGACUUAAGGUGACCGUUUAAGAAGACAAGACUACUCAAACAGACAUAUAUAUAUAGUUAUCUUAAGACAGUUCACUGCAUAGAAAGUAAGAUGAACAACUAAACUUGAAACAUGAGUUCAUACAACAUCAGUUACUGGGUAAGUUUCACAAAUGUUGACAUUUCAAAGGAAUGGAAAAUACUUAAGAGAGGCAGUAACCAGAUCACAACAACAUCUAAUUUGAACUUGAAAGAAUUUCUUUCCAAGAUGACCAAGCUACUGCAAUCUAAAUGGAAAUCUUCAUAUCGAACAAAUGCGUCAUAUAUCUUAAACUAGGAAGACAGAUAUAUAUAUUUUGUAAAAACUAAAAAAUUGAAAUUUCCAAUAAGCUUUGACCAUUAUAGCAUUGAAUCAUUUGUUGUUAAAAAAGUAGUCAUACACAAGUGAACAAGAAAUCAUAUUACUAUUGAUGGUUAAUGAGGCAAACUAAACAACAAUCAAGAUUAAUGAAUAACUUUACGUUCACACUCAAUGUAUUCGGAAACUAUCAAAACUAAUAUAAUAAUAGGCACAUAUUCUAGGCUUGAUAAGAGUGCAGACAACCAAAUAAUAUAAGCCAAAACUUAAAACCCAAAGUGGAAUUCCAUUAUACAAGCUAAAAUUUGCUCAAAACUAAUCAAAUUAAAGCUAAAGAAUAAACAACAAGGAAUAAGGCCAAACAGUAAGCAACAAAAAUAUUGGAAAAGGGAACUUAAACAAAGAGUGAAUUGUAGAAGUUAACUCGCUAAGAGGGUCCUACAUAUUAUUAUGAGAAAUUUUAGAAAACUUUUUGAAGACAAUCUGAUAGGCAGCAAGAAGAUGGACCAAAUAGAAUGAAAAGUCGAUAUUGAAAAGACCAUAAGAAAAUUAACAAUGACCAACGAGAGAACAAAACUCUAAAUACAUACUACUGAUCAAACCAAAAAGAAACCAUCAAAUUUAAGCUACAAGGGACAUAAUUAAACUGAAGAAUACAAGACAAAGGAAAAAAUUCCUAAACGAAAGCAACUAAACACAUUACAAAUAAUUAGUCGAAAAUAAUAAGAUGACACUAACGUAACCUGGUUCUGGGAUGCGACUGGAGAUGAAGAGGGACAAAAUGCUUCAACCACCGACCUCGACCUCACCGAAUUCUGACGAACAACAAGCGAGAAAGAGGCUACAAUCUGAACUUGAAAGACUAUGGCUUUGAAUGUCAAGAAUAUUUAAUAUAACAUUGUUUUUUCACUCUCUGUCCGUACUAAUUUGACUCCUAUAUUUCCCAAUCCUUUUUCCCACCUUUAAUAAUGGAGAAAGAGGAGGUAUUUAUAGAAGAAAACUAGGUUCCAAUCUUUCAGAGGGAAACGGAUAAAACUCUUGGAUUAAAGGGCGCGUUCAAAAUUCAAACUCCCAGAAACCUUUUACCAAUAAAGGGAAACACCCUUUUUCUGAGAUUUCAACCCAUUCCUGAAGAGGGAAGGGGAUAUGGACGUCUUGGAUCAAUUUGAUUGUCCUUGAGAUGCUACGUGUCUCAAUCCCAAGGCGCAUGGACUAUUUCACAUGCUUUUCUAGUGAUUUGCUAUACGAACUGACAGGGUUGGGAACAAGAAGGCAAUAAAAUUGUAGAAUAGCAUUGCAUCGCGUACAAGGCAUGAAGUUUCCAUGUAUUUUCGUAUGAACUGGAGACGAGUAGGGGCCGUUUGGUUGCUGUUUCUGCUGCGUUUUGGAGCAGUCGUGAAG